AACUUUGCUACAAACUCUGCCGUCAUCAUAUCCAAGGCAGUGAGUUGUGAGGACUGCUUCCCUGAGAACACUGAGUGCAUUCUGGAAUAUUCCAAAUGUGUGCCACUUCCAUACAAAAGAAGUUUCAAUCCCGCAAGAGAGUUCACUCACCAGUGGGCUCCAUCAACAGACCAGGGCAAAGUCGGUCUGUCCUGCUACUACUACAUGCUACUUGACUAUGUCUGGAAGCCAUGGCUGCUGCCCUCAACAUGCUAAACUGAAACCCUCACUAAUAAACUGAUAUCAAUAAUUAACAUUGAUGGUGAUGGUGGCAAGGGUGCCUUCAUAAGGUGCCAUCCAGCAAGUCCCAGCCUGGAGCCAGAGGCUGGCACUGCACGUCAGAUGGGGGAGGAUCUAUGUUAGGCAUCAGAAAGACACCUGACUUUUACUGCCAAAGGGACCAUCAGAGCACCUCUCCCUACCAUCUAUACCAGAAGAGUACGGACAAGGGCCCAAAAUGUUUUAAAGGACGUUGCACGCCCAGACCAUGGACUGUUUAAACCACUGUGGUCAAGCAGAAGUCUCUCACUCGAGGCAGGU